GAUGAACGCUAGCUACAGGCUUAACACAUGCAAGUCGCGGGGCAGCAUGUAUCUGGCUUGCCAGAUACGAUGGCGACCGGCGCACGGGUGAGUAACGCGUAUCCAACCUGCCCAUAACCACGGCACAGCCCGUCGAAAGGCGGAUUAAUGCCGUAUGAGGUUCCAGAGCAGCAUUAUUGUGGAACGAAAGGAUUUGGCGGUUAUGGAUGGGGAUGCGUCCGAUUAGCUAGUUGGCGGGGUAACGGCCCACCAAGGCGACGAUCGGUAGGGGUUCUGAGAGGAAGGUCCCCCACACUGGAACUGAGACACGGUCCAGACUCCUACGGGAGGCAGCAGUGAGGAAUAUUGGUCAAUGGGGGAAACCCUGAUGCAGCGACGCCGCGUGAAGGAAGAAGUAUCUCGGUAUGUAAACUUCUAUCAGCAGGGAAGAAAAUGACGGUACC
rnacentral:rRNA from 1 species